CUCGUAGGCGGUUUGUCGCGUCUGUCGUGAAAGCCCACGGCUUAACCGUGGGUCUGCGGUGGAUACGGGCAGACUAGAGGCAGGUAGGGGAGAAUGGAAUUCCCGGUGUAGCGGUGAAAUGCGCAGAUAUCGGGAGGAACACCGGUGGCGAAGGCGGUUCUCUGGGCCUGUACUGACGCUGAGGAGCGAAAGCGUGGGGAGCGAACA
rnacentral:rRNA from 1 species